UGAAAUAAAAAAAAAGUAAUUUAAUUUUGUCAUUACGAAAAACGUCAUUUAGUUCAUUUGUAUAAAACAAAUCCUUGAAUUCGAUAAGUUUACUUGACUAUAAUAAUUACAUUACAAUGAGCAGGUUAAGGGCUUUAUUUGCCAAUGCUUUCCGUGGCAAGAGCUAUGUCGGCAAAGCGCAGGAAUCAUUGAGGCUUCAGAAUCGACAUCACCACGACGAGGGACCACCUCAACCGUUCGAUAAUUUGCCUUUUAAAUUUACAAAUCGAUAUGUAGCAACAUUAGUAUUUUCAAUCUUCUUCGGAACAGGUUUUUGGGCACCAUUUAUCAUAUUGUGGUACUCCAUGGCAAAGAAAUCGUUGUGAAUUCAAUAUUUAUUUGAUUUAACUUUCUGAAUAAAUAAACUGUGUCUUUGAGUA